rnacentral:rRNA from 1 species
GAACGCUGGCGGCGUGCCUAACACAUGCAGGUCGAACGAAGCAUCGCGCCCGGGAAAGUGGAGUGCUUGCACAAAGCGGACCCAAUUGUGAUGACUUAGUGGCGGACGGGUGAGUAACGCGUGGGUAACCUGCCGUAUGCAGGGGGAUAACAGUUAGAAAUGACUGCUAAUACCGCAUAAGCGCACAGCUUCGCAUGGAGCAGUGUGAAAAGCUAUUUACGGCAUACGAUGGACCCGCGUCUGAUUAGCCAGUUGGCAGGGUAACGGCCUACCAAAGCAACGAUCAGUAGCCGGCCUGAGAGGGUGAACGGCCACAUUGGGACUGAGACACGGCCCAAACUCCUACGGGAGGCAGCAGUGGGGGAUAUUGCACAAUGGGGGAAACCCUGAUGCAGCCGACGCCGCGUGAGUGAAGAAGUAUUUCGGUAUGUAAAGCUCUAUCAGCAGGGAAGAAAAUGACGGUACCUGACUAAGAAGCUCCGGCUAAAUACGUGCCAGCAGCAGC